rnacentral:tRNA from 1 species
UGUGGUGUAACUCAGUGGCAUGGUGCUUACCUAGCAUGUGUGAGGCUCUGGGUUUGAUCCCCAGUACCACAA